UGCAAUAUUUUGGUCCGCCAAACUUAUUGGAUCAGGUAUUCCUUGUGGUGUGGUGUGCCGCCUUCAAACAUUAAAUAAAUACUCCAAUAAUUUUCUUUUCUGAGUUUUAAAAUAAAUCAAAAAAAAAUGAUAAAAAAGCUGAUCAUUUUCCUUGUCUAAAAAUAAAUAAAGGUCUCUUUAUCUAUUAAAAUACGGCAUUUCCUUUAAUUAUACCAGUUUUAUGUUUUAUUUUCAUAAAAGAUACUCCCUCCCUACUAACAAACAAUAAAUGUUUUAAUUUAUAAAAGAGUAAAUCUAUAUGUACAUCACAUUUACCUUUUAAGAAUAAAGUUAUUUUGAAAUUUUUUCCCCUACAAUUCAAGUUGUUUUUGCUUCUCCUCUUUGGUCGCCCAAAUAUUUCUCUCUCCUCUUAAUUUCCCUACUUGCAGCACAAAGCAGAUUCGCCCAAAAUAAAGCUUCAAAAUGCAAAGAAAGGGCCCCCAAAAAUCAGGAAAACCAAAUUAGCUGGAAAACAGGACGGAGGCCAUGAAUACCGGCAAGACCAAAAGCACAUCCCAGAAAUCAAAUACCCAAAGCUGUCGGACAGACCCCACGAGCAGCUGGAGCCGAGAAGCCAAAUCGGCUAAACGAUGGGUCAUCGGAGAAAUCCAAUGCUCAGCAAGAAAAGAGGAUUCUCAAAACACCCAUCAUCAAAUCAGAUCAUCAAUCAAGAUAAGAAUUAAAAGCAAAUAUGGUUUAAUUAUGGAUACAUAGACCAAUAUAUAGCCACCAAACGUAGCUUCAACAGAUCACAGCAUUGAUUAGAUACCAAAUGAAUACAAAAUUUAUUAGAUACCACAUGUCAUUUUAUGAUGUAGAUACAAUCUUGCUGGAUGAAGAGUUUAAACUUAAAUCAUCAAUCAAGAGGAAAGGAUUGUUUAGUCAAAAUUUUCAAAAUAUUGAAUGGGAUAAAACUGAUUGAUUAGCUUUGCACUGCUCCUGACUUUUGAUUUUGGGGGCACACGGUUUUGGAUGGUUGUUUGCGUAUGGGUUUCGGCAAGCAGUGAAUUCAAGAGGAGAGAGAAAUAUUUGGGCGAUGAAAGAGGAGAAACAAAAGCAACUUGAAUUGUCGAAAAAAAUAUAUUCCAAAACGACUUUAUUCCCUGCGUUUCGGCAAGCAGGGAGUAAAUGUGAUGUACAUGUAGAUUUACUCUUUAUAAAAUUGAUAAUUUCACAAAUUAAGGAAC
rnacentral:lncRNA from 1 species